UCACCCAUUUAUUCUCUUAUAUCACACAUUUUAGUCCAUAGGUAUAAUAAAUAUCAAUAUUAAAAUAAAAAAAAUGAAACAUUAAAUUUCUUUUCUUCAUGUCUUUUUCAUCUUCCUUCUUCUUCUUCUUCUUCUUCUUUAUCUUCUUCUUUAUUUUUUCUCUUGCUUACUCCUUCGUGUUUUUCUUUCAUUUUUUUCUCUGCAUGACAAAAGAACAAUUAGUAUUCAAAUCCAAUCCCACAUUGAAUCAAAACUAAAACUUAAUUUCUACAAACUAAAAUCCAAAACCCAGAAGUCAGAAUCUGUAACUUGUAAAUGAGUGUUGGCAGCGACCAUCAAAAUCCUUAAAAUCCGGCGACCAAAACCUGAAUUAUUUUCCUCCUUAAUGUCACUGCAGAACCAUCCUACCCCCCAUUGAUUUAGUCGUGCCAUUCAUUGUACUAACAAUCAAGCAACUCAACAAUCUCAGGCGAAAGCAUUGUAGUAGUACCGCUGAGAGCUUCGUCUCAAUUCUUCUUCUUCAACAGUCAAGAACCUCGUUGAUCUUCCUCUUACUGCAACCAUUCAACAGUCAAGACCUAUACUUCUUUUGCUCUUUUCUAGUAGAGAAUGACCACGGCGUGGCUAGGACAACCGUGGAGUUGCAGGUCGUCGUGGAUAUCAUCUUGCAACAGCUCUUUGACAACGCGACUGCCUAUAAUUGUUUAUAGGGUUUGGGAUUAUUGUUUCAAAUUUUUUAUUUGAUCAUUUAAUAGAGCUACUGUUACUAGAAAAUUAAGAAAUGUUGUAAUUUGAUAUUUGGGAUUACUUAAUUUUAGAUUAUGAAUAUUUUUAAACUUGAAUCAACCAUAUUAUUAAUAAUAGAUUGAAUUUACUUUAUUGUUGUAUAUUAUUUUCAAUUUGGUGAAUAAGCAAAGGAUUUGAA
rnacentral:lncRNA from 1 species